rnacentral:rRNA from 1 species
GACGAACGCUGGCGGCGUGCCUAAUACAUGCAAGUCGAACGCUUCUUUCCUCCCGAGUGCUUGCACUCAAUUGGAAAGAGGAGUGUCGGACGGGUGAGUAACACGUGGGUAACCUACCCAUCAGAGGGGGAUAACACUUGGAAACAGGUGCUAAUACCGCAUAACAGUUUAUGCCGCAUGGCAUAAGAGUGAAAGGCGCUUUCGGGUGUCGCUGAUGGAUGGACCCGCGGUGCAUUAGCUAGUUGGUGAGGUAACGGCUCACCAAGGCCACGAUGCAUAGCCGACCUGAGAGGGUGAUCGGCCACACUGGGACUGAGACACGGCCCAGACUCCUACGGGAGGCAGCAGUAGGGAAUCUUCGGCAAUGGACGAAAGUCUGACCGAGCAACGCCGCGUGAGUGAAGAAGGUUUUCGGAUCGUAAAACUCUGUUGUUAGAGAAGAACAAGGACGUUAGUAACUGAACGUCCCCUGACGGUAUCUAACCAGAAAGCCACGGCUAACUACGUG